CCGCCCAUAGCUCAACAGGAUAGAGCAACGGACUUCUAAUCCGUAGGUUCGGGGUUCGAGUCCCUGUGGGCGGG
rnacentral:tRNA from 1 species